rnacentral:sRNA from 1 species
GCUGGGCAUGGGGGAGCACACCUGUAAUCCCAGCUGCUUGGGAGGCUGAGGCAGGAGAAUCACAAGUUCAAAGCCAACCUCUUAGCUAGGCCCUAAGCAACUUAGUGAGACCCUGUCUCCA